UAGCUCAGUUGGUUCAGAGCACCUCGUUUACACCGAGGGGGUCGGGGGUUCGAAUCCC
rnacentral:tRNA from 1 species